GACGAACGCUGGCGGCGUGCCUAACACAUGCAAGUGGAGCGACGAACCGGGGCUUGCCCCGGGGCAGCGCCGCGAACGGGUGAGUAACACGUGGGUGUCCUGCCCCGAUGACUGGGACAAACCGUCGAAAGACGGGCUAUUACCGGAUGUGCCCCUUGGGGGAAAGGAAGCUUCGGCCUCCGCAUCGGGCUGGGCCCGCGGCGCAUUAGCUUGUUGGUGGGGUUAUGGGUUACCAAGGCGACGAUGCGUAGGUGGUCUGAGAGGACGAUCAGCCACACUGGGACUGGGACAGGGCCCAGACUCCUACGGGAGGGAGCAGUGGGGAAUCUUGCACAGUGGGGGAAAGCGUUAUGCAGCAACGCGGCGUGCGGGAAGAAGGCCUUAGGGUUGGAAACCGCUUUUAGUUGGGACGAGGCGUCGAUCGUGAAGAGCGGGUGGGAGUGACGGUACCUGCAGAAGAAGCGCCGGCUAACUACGUG
rnacentral:rRNA from 1 species